rnacentral:rRNA from 1 species
AUUGAACGCUGGCGGCAUGCUUUACACAUGCAAGUCGAACGGUAACAGGCCUUCGGGUGCUGACGAGUGGCGAACGGGUGAGUAAUGCAUCGGAACGUACCCAGAGGUGGGGGAUAACGCAGCGAAAGCUGUGCUAAUACCGCAUGUGAUCUGAGGAUGAAAGCGGGGGACCGAGCAGCAAUGUUUGGCCUCGCGCCUUUGGAGCGGCCGAUGUCGGAUUAGCUAGUUGGUGGGGUAAAGGCCUACCAAGGCGACGAUCCGUAGCUGGUCUGAGAGGACGACCAGCCACACUGGGACUGCGACACGGCCCAGACUCCUACGGGAGGCAGCAGUGGGGAAUUUUGGACAAUGGGCGCAAGCCUGAUCCAGCAAUGCCGCGUGCGGGAAGAAGGCCUUCGGGUUGUAAACCGCUUUUGGCAGGAACGAAACGGUGUCCGCUAAUACCGGGCGCUAAUGACGGUACCUGCAGAAUAAGCACCGGCUAACUACGUG